AAACUUAUAGAUCUUCUCGUGUUCAAACUGAAACUGAAAGAUGAAAUGAAAAAGGAAAUGAGAAAAACUUCUAGGUUGCCAAAUGGCAUUACAUAAAUUAUGCAUAUUUAUCAAUUAGCAUAUCUGUUGCUCCUAUUUUUGAGGCAAAAGUUUUAAUUUAAUGAAAAAACAACUUAGCCCUUAAAAUUUCUGAAAACAAUUUUUGAGUUGCAAAAUUUGAAAAAAUGACAUCCAUGUUCUAGCUAUAACAUUGUUUAUCUUGUCGGUAUUCGUCUGAAGUCUGACAGAUUUCGAAAUCAAAACCACAUUAGUUAUAACUCUAGGUAGCAAAGAAUGGACGAGUUUGAAACAAUUGGUGACGAUUUGUCGGGAACCAUCGAAGAACUUAUUAAUGGGGAGCCGACUGUGGUUCGACCCAGCUUGAAUCUUGACGCUUCAACUUGGGAAGGCUGGUUCAAUUCAAUCAUUCUGUAUGCGGCUCAGAAUCCCUGGGAUUUUAUCUAUUAUGUAUUGCUGUGCCUGUCUCCAUUUUUCUUACUAUCUGUUUUCCUGUCAAUGAAACUUGCUAAAGCUUUAGAAGCACAGGAGAAGGAUUUAAAACGUAAAGCAAGGCGAGACACUAAUAUCUCUAAAGCAAGAAAAGCUAAAGGGGAUUGAUGUUCUUUUACAGUAAAUAUUUUUUUUUUCUGAAUUUCCAUACAAUAAAAUGAUAAAAAGAA